GACGAACGCUGGCGGCGUGCUUAACACAUGCAAGUCGUGCGGUAAGGCCCUUUCGGGGGUACACGAGCGGCGAACGGGUGAGUAACACGUGAGCAACCUGCCCUUCACUUUGGGAUAACUGCCGGAAACGGUGGCUAAUACCGGAUAUGACUUUCUCACGCAUGUGGGGUGGUGGAAAGCCUUCGGGUGGUGGGGGAUGGGCUCGCGGUCUAUCAGCUUGUUGGUGGGGUGAUGGCCUACCAAGGCUUCGCCGGGUAGCCGGCCUGAGAGGGUGACCGGCCACACUGGGACUGAGACACGGCCCAGACUCCUACGGGAGGCAGCAGUGGGGAAUAUUGGACAAUGGGCGAAAGCCUGAUCCAGAAACGCCGCGUGAGGGAUGACGGCCUUCGGGUUGUAAACCUCUUUCGCCUGCGACGAAGCGAGAGUGACGGUAGCAGGUAAAGAAGCACCGGCCAACUACGUG
rnacentral:rRNA from 1 species